rnacentral:rRNA from 1 species
GCCAGUGGCCAUAGUGGAGAGGAAAUACCCGUUCCCAUUCCGAACACGGAAGUCAAGCUCUCUUACGUCGAUGAUACUGCUCUUUAGCGGGAAAGUAGAAAGUUGCUGGCU